rnacentral:rRNA from 1 species
UACGGGGGGGGUAAGCGUUGUUCGGAAUUACUGGGCGUAAAGGGCUCGUAGGCGGCCAACUAAGUCAUACGUGAAAUCCCUCAGCUUAACUGGGGAACUGCGUGUGAUACUGGAUGGCUUGGAUUUGGGAGAGGGAUGCGGAAUUCCAGGUGUAGCGGUGAAAUGCGUAGGUAUCUGGAGGAACACCGGUGGCGAAGGCGGCAUCCUGGACCAAUAUUGACGCUGAGGAGCGAAAGCUAGGGGAGCAAACGGG